rnacentral:rRNA from 1 species
UACGGAGGGUGCGAACGUUAAUCGGAAUCACUGGGCGUAAAGCGCGCGUAGGCGGUUCGUUAAGUGGGAUGUGAAAUCCCCGGGCUUAACCUGGGAAUUGCAUUUCAAACUGGCCGACUAGAGUACGGUAGAGGGAGGUAGAAUUUCCUGUGUAGCGGUGAAAUGCGUAGAUAUAGGAAGGAAUACCAGUGGCGAAGGCGGCCUCCUGGAUCGAUACUGACGCUGAGGCGCGAAAGCUAGGGGAGCGAACGGG